rnacentral:lncRNA from 1 species
UAGAAUUUUGCUAGAAUACUAUCGGUAGUAAACGGCUCGAUUUACUACGAUUUGUUUUCGAUGAUAGAGCUUCCAAAUUGAUGAUCGACACCGUUAAACAUGAUCUAAACUAUUUAAACUAUCUGGAAAUCAAAUUUCACACACUUUCGAUAUUGUUCUCUUGUCCAUCAAGUGAACAGAAAAAUGAAUCGCUAGAAAUGAAUAUUCUUCAAAAAGUGAUGAUACAAUUUUUAUAUUUGAGAUCUAAGUCUAGAUCUUAUUUUAAAUAGUUUAAAAAAAUUUUUAGCAAAAAUUUAGUUGAUUUGAACUCUUCUAUACCGUUAAACGAGAAACGUACCAUAUCGGCCAUUAAAAUUAUAGAUUUUGUGACCCUUUAAUCGUUCAGUUAGUGAUGCCAAAAAUCAUGAAUUUGAUUAUUUCUAAUAUAUUUAAAUGGUCUAGAUCAUGUUUAACGGUGCCGAUCGUCGAUUGGAAGCUCUAUCAUCAAAAAUAAAUCGGUAGUAACGAACAGUUUACUACUGAUAGUAGCCCAAUCAACUCUCUCUCUCUCUCUCUCUCUCUCUCUCUCUCUCUCUCUCUCUCUCUCUCUCUCUUCUCUUUAUAUAUAUAUAUAUAUAUAUAUAUGCCGGAAUACUAUUAAUAACACCAAUGAUUUGGUGCUAUUAAAUUUUCUACCCUUGAAUUAUAAGAUGUGCGGUUAGAAUGAUAUGAACCCUCUAGGGUUGAGUGGGUGGUUGGUUGAAUAGUAUGAUCUAACGAGUGAAAAUGAUCAAAAUGGUAGAUAUAACGCGAGAAAUUGGUAGCACCAAGUGCUUCCUGCUAUUACUAGGCAUAGUAGUCGGACUGACACACACUCUUUUUAAUAUUAUAUAUAUAUAGAAUUAUGCUAUUAUACUAUCAAUAGUACCAAGUCCUUGGUACUAUUGAGUUUUCGGCCGUUGGAUGAAAGGAUUGUGCGGUUAGGAUGAUAGUGGUCCCCUAGGGUUGAGUGGGUGGUUGGUUUAAUAGUAUAAUCUAACGGGUGGAAAUGAUCAAAGGAUAGAUCUAACGGUAGAAAAUCAAUAGUACCAAAGGUUUGUACUAUCAAUAGUAUAGUAGCCGGACUCUAUAUAUAUAUAUAUAUAUAUAUAUAUAUAGAAUUUUGCUAGAAUACUAUCGGUAGUAAACGGCUCGAUUUACUACGAUUUGUUUUCGAUGAUAGAGCUUCCAAAUUGAUGAUCGACACCGUUAAACAUGAUCUAAACUAUUUAAACUAUCUGGAAAUCAAAUUUCACACACUUUCGAUAUUGUUCUCUUGUCCAUCAAGUGAACAGAAAAAUGAAUCGCUAGAAAUGAAUAUCUUCAAAAAGUGAUGAUACAAUUUUUAUAUUUGAGAUCUAGAGUCUAGAUCUUAUUUUAAAUAGUUUAAAAAAUUUUU